rnacentral:rRNA from 1 species
UACGUAGGCACCAAGCGUUGUCCGGAUUUAUUGGGCGUAAAGAGCUCGUAGGCGGUUCGGUAAGUCGGGUGUGAAAACUCUGGGCUCAACCCAGAGCCGCCACCCGAUACUGCUGUGACUCGAGUGCGGUAGGGGAGCGGGGAAUUCCUGGUGUAGCGGUGAAAUGCGCAGAUAUCAGGAGGAACACCAGUGGCGAAGGCGGCAUCCUGGACCAAUAUUGACGCUGAGGAGCGAAAGCCAGGGGAGCAAACGGG